GGGGGGUGCUGCGGGGAAGGCGGGGGACCCGGGACUUCCAAGUGUGUCUGGUUUCCCGCAGAAUCCAGCCUCUGUCCACGUGAACUCUGCUCUGUCCUCUGGGCUCAUAAUGUUCUGAGACUCUUGCUGCCUCUUUCAUGGAUUCCCCUUCUAUUUCCCUGAGACGACUCACAGGUCACAGAAAGCUGCCUCCCAUCCUUGCGGCUCCAUCAAGGUGCUUUGGAGGCAGGUAAAGCGCAGUCUGGCCAUGGAGGCAUGGUAUCCGUAACAUCCCCCAAAGGAGCUAAAGAAGAAAUCCACAAUUUACCAUGAGCAUUUCUCGUCUGAAGAUUGCCAAGCGAUUCCUCCAGGACAUUCCUCAAGAUCAAUUUCUGUUCAUCCACCUUGUCCUGGGAGGGACAUCAAUGGGUUUCCAUGUCCUUUGGCUUCUGGUUGAGUUCACUCAGUGGAGAACCCUGGCAAGAGGCAGGAAAAGGGGAGGAAGGCUUUAUGAUACAUGUGUUGAAUGUGCAGGUUCGUUACAUAGGUGAAAACCAUCCAUUUCUUGGAGAAGUGCCACGGUGGGGUUGCAAGUCCCAGGAUCAAGUUUUCGAUGUGUCUCUUUUUCCCGUAAAGUGGCUGAAAUCUGAAGCUGAAUCUGCAAGUGUCAUGGAGUCAUUGAAUCUCACAGUCUCAACUGAUAAAAGUUAUUAAAGGUCGUCUGGUUCAGCCUUC
ensembl:lncRNA SOX9-AS1 SOX9 antisense RNA 1